ACAAUCCUUCAGCAAUUAUAAAUUCUGUAAAAAGGCCCUCCCUGAUCAUUAAAAUGUGGCUUGCACAGUGGUGUUUGAGAUCUUUCGAAUGCCACCAUUUUUUUUUCAAUACUUACGUAAAAAAGAAGUCACAAGUCUCACCUCUUCUUGCAAAUGAGGUGGCCUUUAUUAUGGUAAAGAGAUCAAUAAUUAGUCCCACUGGGAAAUCAGAUACAGAUAUUCCUCUAUAAUAAGAAUAAUUGCUGAAAAAUCAAUUCAGAUGCGCCUGUGUCUGUGCAAUCAGUCUGCCCUUUCUCCACAGCUAGUCAAGGCUCCUCAGUCGAAAAGUAUCAAGUCCUUCAGGGAUUACCUUCUGUGUCUGAGUCCUUGAAAGUUUUCCACAUGCAUGUUCAUGUACAGAAGUGCUAAGAGUUUCUUCUUUGCCAGCAUAUCUUCUUGACAGACUGUUGAUUACUUUUUGACUUUCGUCUGGUGCAUUGUUUUGUGUGGUUGGCAAUCCUGAUGUGGCUGAUUCACUGACACAAACAGAGGGCCUGUACAAGUGGAAACACUUUCUACUUCGGGGUUUAGACUCUGGUAAAAAUCAGAAAAGCAAGACAAAUAGAGCUUUCUUCAAAAAAGUGUUAGGAUGUUGCUUCUACAUUGUCUGAUGGGAGCAGAAGUGUAGUAAGAAAUCUCUACUUCUGUUUCUUUGAGUUAUUUCUACACUGGCUUAACCAGAGCAAACUGCUGUCAGCAGCUGGAGUGUGUUACAUGAUCUUCUGAAACAUUUCUUCCCAUUUAGUUCCACCAGGAAAGAUCCAUUUCAUCCAGUCAAAGAUGUGAAUCAAAAGCAAAGUAAGAGGGAGAGUGUAAUAAGGAGGUUGACUUCAGAAGUGAAAACAUUACCAGCUCUUUCAGUCUUAAGAGAAAGUCUUGUCUGGUAGUGCUAAGAAUUAUAAAUGCAAAUUCUUAAAAUCAACAUUAUAUGUAAUACCUCUCUGGGUAAAAAAACAAUCAAACCCCACAGCCCUGCAAUCUAAAACCAGGUCCUUUAUAAUGAAUGAAUUAUCUAAUGACAAGAAGUAAAAGCCCUCCCUGUUUCAGCUUUGCUCAGAAGAUAUUUUUACUGGCUAUUUAAAAUACCAGUUAAAUGGUAAUACCGUGGCCUCUGGUGGAGUGCUUGCCUUAAACAAAGAGGUGUUAAUUGCAGUCUAAUUGUGGUUAUCUGAACAGUCAAUAAUGAAACUUCCCCAGGUAACAAUGUAAGUAUUUGUUUGGGUUUUUUUUUAAGGUAAUUUCCCCUCAGUGAGGGGUUCUUUAUUAAAUGUGCAUAUGGGUCACUAUGUACAUAGAGAGUCUCCUUUAUUUUUAAUCUCUGGAUAUAAUUUUCUAAUGUGCUAGAGUGACUGUUUGGUGAUUUAGACACACUAAGACAAGUAGGAAUUUCUCCAUCUUGCCUUUUCAUCUCUUCUUUACCCAUAGAGCCAGCAUUCAGUCUACCCACUCAUGAAGGAGGAAUACAAUUCUUCCAUUCUUCAUUUAUUUCAUCCUUACACAUAGCUUUGAAUAUAGGGAUUAGAGUACUGUGUAUCAGCUUUGGCUGAAUCCCUGAAUUUUGAGGAAGCUCUUUCCCCUGCCUGUGACCUCCAAAGUUUUGUUUCAAGCUUAUAGCACUAACCAUUAGCUGCAUUUUUCUAUAAAGAGACAAAACACUUCUCAUAACUUCCUUACACUGAGGAGGCAGCAGAGUUGAAGUUACCAUUCCAUCUGUAGCUAUUCAUCAAUGCCUUCCCACUCUGCCACCCACAAAAUGUAGUUCAAGCAAGCAAAUAUGCAGCCACAAGAAGAAAUUCACAUUUCAUUUUGAAGUUAACAGAGCUUUUCAUUUUCACUUUCCAACUCUUACAGAUUUUCUACCUAGACAGAAAAAAUCCAUAACAUAACCUUAUACACAUGGAUAAUGCCUAUUCUGUUUCUGGGGUUAUAUCAAGAAAACCCUUGCCAAAGGCUAUAGCCCCUGCAAAUUUACAAACCCUAAUUUUUGCACAUGAGCUUUGAUUUUGACCAUCCACAAAUCCAUGGGACCUGAUGAGAUGCAUCCCAAGAUCCUGAGGGAUCUAGGAGAUGUCGCUAAGUUGUUGAAAAGCCGUGGCAAUCAGAUGAAGUCUGUAGUGACUACAUGCUCUGUGCAUGAUUUUCUGGAAAGGGAGUGAGAACUUUCACCAUCAUUUAGUCCUCUUCGCACAUCCUUAUUUGUGUGGGGCCAGCCUCCUGCCCUAUUUUGCUGGCUGCAAGGUCUCUCUUGUCCACAUCACUCUGAGCCUUUUGCUUGUGAAUCCACGUCACAACUACCUCUCUUGAUGGUGGAUCAUCAUCUCCCCCUCCUUGCUGUUCCUAGUUCAAAGCUCUUCUCACUAGGCUUGACAGACAUGAGAAGCUGUUCUGCCACAGUCAAGUCACGUGGGACCAAUUAUCCAUCCUUAUCUUCAAAAUGGCCUGGUGGUCAUAGAAGCUGAAGCCUCUGAGACCAGCUGCAAAAGUGGUGGUUGAUCCACAGGAUCUGUCCACUCCUCGAAUUCCUCUUUUUGCUGGCAAAUGGCACCACAGGACCCUGGUGCCCUUGGUCCUCACCUCCAGAGUGACACAGUCAUUCUUGUUCUGCUCCAGGUCCCCCCUGGCCACAUGGGUGGUGCUUGAGUUGGCCAAGAACCAGAGAAGCCUUGUCAGCCUCCCCACAGAACCCAUGUGAAGUAGCAAACCUCUUUAGACUUGGGUCAGUCUGGUCACCAGGACCUCUGCCCACCACAGGCAGUUCCUCUUUGCUCUCACUUCCCAUCUCCCCCUAGCUGCUGCUGCCAGAGGCUCAGAGGCUGCCAGAUGUGGAGGUGUCAUCAGGUCGUGAUAUCCCAGCCCCUUAUCUGCUACCAGGGCUCUGAAUCUCUUUUAUAGUACAGAUCUGCAGGUGGGGCAGGAUACCCUCCAGUCUUUGCCCCUGUGAGUCUGCAUUUCCCACACCUGGAUGUGUGCACGGACUUUGCCUCCAUCCUCCAAUGCAGCAGUUCAGGCUCCUGAGUCAAGCUGACAUAUCCCUUACUGCUACAGUUCGGAGAUAUGAUUGCCCAAGGUCAGGCACAGGUUAACAAGACUCAGAAGCACUGCCCUGGACUGUAAUUAAGAUCGGUGGAUUGCUGGAAAUACUCUCCUUUGCUCUUGUAAUCUGUCUACUUUUCCAUAUACCCUAAUGGUUCUGCAAUUCUAUUACGGUAUUAACCAAACACAUGAUGAAAGUUUCAUUUUCUUUAUCCACCAGCUGCAACAUUGAUCUUAAAGGUCUUAUCUUAGAUUAUGCGAUCCUUUGCUCUUCUGUUCUUGCCCCUCUUUCUGAUGUUGUAAACUCUAUCUGAAAUAUUAAUCAAUAAAGUACAUCAGAAAUAGC